rnacentral:rRNA from 1 species
GACACGACUCCCGGCAAUGGAUAUCUCGGCUCCCGCAUCGAUGAAGAGCGCAGCGAAAUGCGAUACGUGGUGCGAAUUGCAGAAUCCCGCGAAC